UUUAUGGAGUUAAAGCAUUGGUAUAGGCACAACUAAGGCGUUGGGAGGCACAGAUAUAACGAAGUGUUCAGGUUUGGCUUUGUUUGUGGAGUUGAAGAGUCGAUAUUGGCAAAUUUGGAACAUUGGUAGAUUGGGAUAUAGUUAAGUGUGCGUGUUAUUGGCAAAUGUAGAACAUAUGAAGAUAAGGUUAUAGUGCACUGUGCAGGCACUCCACCAUGCACUCUUGAUGUAGAGUACUCCUACCCUUUGGAUUAUGCCCAGCAAGUGCACUAUCCCAAUUCCCUAUUCUCAAUAUGUUGGUUCAAUAUAUUUUAGGACCCCAAGAAAGUUCCAUGCGAUUUGUGUUUGUGCAGAGGGAUCAGGACUUCAUGGAAGUGUCAGUCUCAACAUGCUCUGGAAAGUGGAGAAACAAUGCAACAGGUUGCCAGUAUUGUCCUGCAGUCAAGACAUGGUCACAAUAUCCCACUGCUUAUAAAUGAUCUAAAAAGCCAUUGGAAGUCAUUUUAAUAGUAAAACCCCUGAGGCCUGCUGCUUAAGGACUAAUGCUAUAUUGACUAGUGUGUGGCUAGUGUGUGGAUCAUAUUAAUUAACGGUUGCCUAUGUCAGCUUACCAGUAACUUACUUCCAUAAUGUUAAAACAUUUCAUGUGAUUGUGUUUUGUGAAAUACAACAUUUGUCAUGUCACUUAAAGUAUAGAAUUGCA